ensembl:lncRNA
GCCCAUUAUCCCAUCCCAGUUCGACGUUGUGGCUGACUGCUCUUUCUGCUCUUUCACUUCACACACAGGCCAAUCAUAGGAUCCAGCAGUGUUUGACCAACUGGAAGAGACAGUUAAAACUCCCCGAAUGAUCUGUUGAUGGUGAUCGUAGGAGUGGUCCAGCAGUACCUGAGGAUAAUGCAUUCCUUACACACAGACAGAGAGGUGCUCUUACACGGAUACUACAGCUACAUUGAGAAGGUGCGUAGGGAGUGUGGCGACGUGAUGCUUGGUAUCAGCACGGUCAACACGAGACUGCAGUCCUGCC